rnacentral:rRNA from 1 species
CGUAGGGUGCAAGCGUUAUCCGGAAUUAUUGGGCGUAAAGGGCUCGUAGGCGGUUCGUCGCGUCCGGUGUGAAAGUCCAUCGCUUAACGGUGGAUCUGCGCCGGGUACGGGCGGGCUGGAGUGCGGUAGGGGAGACUGGAAUUCCCGGUGUAACGGUGGAAUGUGUAGAUAUCGGGAAGAACACCAAUGGCGAAGGCAGGUCUCUGGGCCGUUACUGACGCUGAGGAGCGAAGCGUGGGAGCGAACAGGAUU